UACGUAGGGUGCAAGCGUUAAUCGGAAUUACUGGGCGUAAAGCGUGCGCAGGCGGUUAUGCAAGACAGAUGUGAAAUCCCCGGGCUCAACCUGGAACUGCAUUUGUGACUGCAUAGCUGGAGUGCGGCAGAGGGGGAUGGAAUUCCGCGUGUAGCAGUGAAAUGCGUAGAUAUGCGGAGGAACACCGAUGGCGAAGGCAAUCCCCUGGGCCUGCACUGACGCUCAUGCACGAAAGCGUGGGGAGCAAACAGG
rnacentral:rRNA from 1 species